GCUCCAUGAAAGACAUGGGUAGUGAGAUGUACACUGUCUCUAAUCACCUUGCUAUCAUGUCUUUCCAUGGAGA
ncrna:Capitella teleta microRNA cte-mir-71 precursor